UGGGGAAUAUUGCACAAUGGGCGAAAGCCUGAUGCAGCAACGCCGCGUGAGUGAUGAAGGCCUUCGGGUUGUAAAGCUCUGUCUUUUGGGACGAUAAUGACGGGUACCAAAGGCAGGAAGCCACGGCUAACUACGUGCCAGCAGCCGCGGUAAUACGUAGGUGGCAAGCGUUGUCCGGAUUUACUGGGCGUAAAGGAUGCGUAGGCGGAUUUUUAAGUGAGAUGGUGAAAAUACCCGGGCUUAACUUGGGUGCUGCACUUCAAACUGGGAAUCGUAGAGUGCGGGAGAGGAGAAUGGAAUUCCUAGUGUAGCGGUGAAAUGCAGUAGAGAUUAGGAAGAACACCAGUGGCGAAGGCGAUUCUCUGGACCGUAACUGACGCUGAGGCAUGAAGGCGUGGGUAGCAAACAGGGAUUAGAUACCCUGGUAGUCCACGCCGUAAACGAUGAGUACUAGGUGUAGGAGGUAUCGACCCCUUCGUGUGCCGCAGUUAACACAAUAAGUACUCCGCCUGGGAAGUGACGAUCGCAAGAUUAAAAACUUAAAGG
rnacentral:rRNA from 1 species